AAUCAACGCUGGCGGCGUGCCUCAGACAUGCAAGUCGAACGCGAAAGCCUCCUUCGGGAGGCAAGUAGAGUGGCGCACGGGUGAGUAACACGUAGGUAAUCUACCUUCGGGUGGGGAAUAACAACCGGAAACGGUUGCUAAUACCGCAUAAUGCAGCGGCACCUAAUGGUGACAGUUGUUAAAGCGGGGGAUCGAAAGAUCUCGCGCCUGAAGAGGAGCCUGCGGCGGAUUAGCUAGUUGGUAGGGUAACGGCCUACCAAGGCGACGAUCCGUAGCCGGCCUGAGAGGGCGGUCGGCCACACUGACACUGACAUACGGGUCAGACUCCUACGGGAGGCAGCAGUCGGGAAUUUUGGGCAAUGGGCGAAAGCCUGACCCAGCAACGCCG
rnacentral:rRNA from 1 species